rnacentral:rRNA from 1 species
UACGUAGGGGGCAAGCGUUGUCCGGAUUUAUUAGGCGUAAAGAGCGUGUAGGCGGCUUUACAGGUCCGUUGUGAAAACUCGAGGCUCAACCUCGAGACGCCGGUGGAAACCGUAAAGCUAGAGUCCGGAAGAGGAGAGUGGAAUUCCUGGUGUAGCGGUGAAAUGCGCAGAUAUCAGGAAGAACACCCGUGGCGAAGGCGGCUCUCUGGGACGGUACUGACGCUGAGACGCGAAAGCGUGGGGAGCGAACAGG